rnacentral:rRNA from 1 species
CCUACGGGUGGCUGCAGUGGGGAAUAUUGGACAAUGGGCGAAAGCCUGAUCCAGCCAUGCCGCGUGUGUGAAGAAGGCCUUCGGGGUGUAAAGCACUUUCAGUGGGGAAGAAAGCCUUGGGGCUAAUACCCUCGAGGAAGGACAUCACCCACAGAAGAAGCACCGGCUAACUCCGUGCCAGCAGCCGCGGUAAUACGGAGGGUGCGAGCGUUAAUCGGAAUUACUGGGCGUAAAGCGCGCGUAGGCGGUCUGAUAAGCCGGUUGUGAAAGCCCCGGGCUCAACCUGGGAACGGCAUCCGGAACUGUCAGGCUAGAGUGUAGGAGAGGAAGGUAGAAUUCCCGGUGUAGCGGUGAAAUGCGUAGAGAUCGGGAGGAAUACCAGUGGCGAAGGCGGCCUUCUGGACUGACACUGACGCUGAGGUGCGAAAGCGUGGGUAGCAAACAGGAUUAGAUACCCGAGUAGUC